AUGCUUGAUUUGGCAGUACAUAUACUAAAAUUGUGAUGAUACAGAGAAGAUUAGCAUUUCCACAGCACAAGGAUGACAUGAAAAUUUGUGAAGUAUUCUAUAUUAAA